UGGAAACUAUAAAAAAUGUUAAUAGGAUGUAAAAAAUGUUGCCUACUUCUUUUAAACUGUUUUGUACCAUUCAAAAAAAUGUUCAGUGUGCGCUUGAAAAAUGUUUAGCCUGUACUCGAGAACAACUUCAAACAUGUAUUUGACACAAUGUUCAACGUGUAUCAAAGAAUAUUUCUUAUGUUUACGAAAAAUCUAUAACUUGUCUAGAAAUUUGACAUGUACUUGUAAAAAGGAAAAAGGGUGAAAGGAAAAAAAAAGAAAAAAGGGAUAAAAACAGAAGAACAAAAAAAUAAGAAAAAAGGACAAACAUACAAAAGGAGAAAACCAAUAAAAACAUAGAAAACAGUAACACAAAAAAGAUGCAUGGAAGGUUGUAAAACUGCUCCAGACUAGUUUGUAGAACCAUAUAACGGGUCGCCCACAACGGGAAGAAGAAAUUUGACAUGUACUUGUAAAAAGGAAAAAGGGUGAAAGGAAAAAAAAGAAAAAAGGGAUAAAAACAGAAGAACAAAAAAAUAAGAAAAAAGGACAAACAUACAAAAGGAGAAAACCAAUAAAAACAUAGAAAACAGUAACACAAAAAAGAUGCAUGGAAGGUUGUAAAACUGCUCCAGACUAGUUUGUAGAACCAUAUAACGGGUCGCCCACAACGGGAAGAAGAACCAGCGCAAGAGGUGAGGAGAGG
rnacentral:lncRNA from 1 species